rnacentral:rRNA from 1 species
AUGUACACAGUAACUGAAGGAGCCGUCUGUUGCGGACGGGCAUUCCACAUGGCUCCUCUUUGCCGUGAGCCGCUCUCGGCGUCUGCAGGGUUUGCCGUGCGGUGUCUCUUUGCCUGUACAAAGCUGAUAUGGUCCACCUGCUGCUAUUGCGGCAACCAACUUGGCAUAGUGCAAUGUUGGACAAAUCGCCGGUUGGCAGCGAGGGUGCAGCCUCUAGAAGAGCUAGAGGCAUCGGAGAAGAUGAUCUUAACGAUCUGGUUACUCAGAAAAGAGGUUCACGAGCACAGUCUCCUGGUCAUCGCGCGCCGCAACCCAGCCGCUGUCGUGCGAGUCGACCAAGCACUUGUCCUCCGCCUUGCUCGGGACUGGAGGCGCAGGAUCCACGCGUCGUCGGGCCCACACAGGUGCUUCGUCCUGCUGCUGGACGAGUACGAACCGCAGGGGGUGCUUCGUCCGGCGCGGCGAGAGGAGCAGCGCCGCGGCCUGCAGACGGCGGCGAGGCGCACGCGGUCGCGCGGGGAGGCGAGCCUGAGGUGGAUAUUGUCGAGCAGGUCGUCCGGGAGGUCGGAGUCGGACCACCGCGCUGUUGAAGACUUGGUACCACGGUGGCCAUCGCCGGAGGCGUUCCGUGACUUGUCUGCUCUGUACCCCCGCGCGCCUUCUUCCUCCGCCGCGUUAGCUAGGGUUACGUACAUGACGCAGGGUAAGUGGAGGCGAGUUGUAUGGAAACAUCGCGGCAAGGCAAGAGACGACGCGUCGGCCAGGCCGCCGGAGGUGGAGGAGCCGGUGGUGGGCGAGAGCUUCGAGUUCGCCUUCAACAACGAGGCCUUUUCCGACAGGGUGCUGAAGGUAGAGGUCGUCGGCAGUGAAGAUGCUGCCGGGUCUCACAGACGCAAGCGCCGCCCAGAGGAGGACAAAAGCAAUGAUGGAGAAGUUCAGCGAUUCUUGCUGCAAGAAGUCCUUUUUUCUUCAAGCUUUUUCUCAAAUGGCAUGAAAGAGUCUGAUCAGAGGCAAGCAACACUUACAAUUGGAGAUUCAGAGGAAAAGGCCUUCAUGGAGCUUUUAAUCUUUAUGUAUAGUGGGAAGUUGACACCAACAACUGAGCCUACUCUUCUACUUGAUAUCUUGAUGAUCGCUGACAAAUUUGAGGUCAUUUCUUGCAUGAAGCUUUGCAGUCAGCGGCUGCUAGACCUGCCUAUGACCCCAGAAUCGGCAGUGAGGUGCCUAAAUGUGCCAUGUUCCAUUUCAAUGGCAGCUGCCCUCAAAGAGGCAGCCAAGCAAUUCCUUGCAGAAAGGUACAAGGAGCUCCUGUCAACAAACUUCCAAGAUGAACUAAUGAGGGUCCCUCUUGCUGGGAUUCAGGCCAUCUUAUCAAGGAAUCGCCUUGGGGCUGCAUCGGAAGAAUCCAUUUAUGACUUUGUGCUCAGGUGGGCACGUUCACGGUACCCAAAUUCGGAAGUAAGGGACAAGAUUUUGAGUUCACGUUUACUUCCACUGGUGCCAUGGGUGCUCGGGAUGACCGAUGACAUUCAAAUUGAUCAUCCAUCUUGUAUAAUUAACUUCACUAUAAAGCGUGAGAAGUGUUGCAGGCUGGUCCCAUCAGGAUUAAUGCGUUCUCCGUCGUUCCAUUGCGCGGGGCGUGACUUCUUCCUCUCGGCAUGUUGUGUGACGACAGAUCAGUCCCAAUUUUUUAGCCUCGCCAUAAAGAUGUUAGAAGACAAGGGGGCAGUAAGGGGGAAAAUAGAUUAUGAGAUUGGGGCAAAGACAAGACCAUCGCUGAAGUUCGUCACCAAGUACAGGUGCACCACCUCCACCGAUAGUAUGGGACAAGAUGGUUGUUGCGUUCCUUGGUCGGAGUUAAUGGCUGACGACAACCCUUACUUCAUCUACGAUAAACUCCAUCUGCAAAUUCACGUGAAGAUAACACCACUGCCAUAG